GAAGGCGGGAGAAAACAGCCAGGAGCAGGAGGACAGGAGCUGCAGGCAGCAGUAGAGAAGAAGAUGGCAGAGCGCAGAGGCAGACGAGCACUGAGUGGGUCUGAGAGCAGCACCACGUCAGGUCCAGCAGACCAGCACCAGCGGUCCAGCGCCCAGCCCAGAGCCAGAGUAUUUCAUUGCUUGGAGCAGUGCGUCGCCAGAAUUUGAAGAGGAGAAGAGCACGUCAGUGAAGACUGCAGUCCAAUGAGAAAGAUCCCAACAAGGGAUAAAACACAACAUCAGCUCCGCCGAGCCCCCGGCCAAAGUGUUGAAGUGGCGUCUGAGAUCCCCAAGGGCCAAGCCAAGUAAUUGUGUGCACAUGGUCAUUUUGAAGGAAGGAUGACAUCACAGAUACAGAGUUGACCGUCUGAUAGCCUAGCCCGACUGCCCACCUCUCCUGAAGACCCUCAGCUUUUUAAGUCAAGUGGAGGACAUGAUCUCUUAAAGAGGGUCCCACAGAUGCCUCCCAGCAGUUUGAGCACCACUCCUACAAGAAGAGUCAAUGCCCUGAGUGAUUUCACUGGGGAAUUACUCUGUGGGUAGUACUUGUGUUGGGAUGCACCUCUGGCUGACUAUCAUCAUUCUAUAAGAUAAUAAUGUAGAUGUGUGCUGUCAAUAACCCCAUAUAGAUUUGUGAAUGUUUAGAUUAAAUGGCUACUAUAAGACAACCAGGAAUGGAUGUCUAACAUCCCAUGAUCUAUGCAGCUUAUCUGUAUACUUCAUGCAGUACGGGAAGUCUAAGUGGCCGUUUAUGGACAGGUAGGAAAGAUAGUUAGCUAACAAAUCAGAAAUGCAUAUAUGAGUGAUAAUGUAAUGAUCAAUAGAGGAGAAAAUGUAGCAGGAAAGAAUUAACUCUGAUUUCUUGUAUCAAUCAUUAUCAUGGUUUUUGUUCAUGUCUGGUUUCUUUUCACUUUCCUGCUUCUCCUCUAUUGAUAUAACAUUCAAUUAUUGCCUGGAAAUGAUUAAUAUGUUAUAUUUUUAGAUGAGGGUGUGGCUAUGUCCAUUUUGUAGGAAGGAUGACAUCACAGCUACAGAGAUGACCGUCUGAUAGCCCAGCUCGACUGCCCACCUCUCCUGAAGACCCCUCAGCUUUUUGAGAGUUGGGUGGAGGACAUCAUCUCUGAAAGAGGGUCCCACAGAUGCACCCUAGCAGUUUGAGCACCACUCCUACAAGAAGAGUCAAUGCCCUAAAAGCGUGAUUUCACCGGGGAUUACUCCGGGGUGAUCCUUGUGUUAGGAUGCACCUCUGGCUGGCUGUUGUCAUCCUUUUAGGUAGAUAAUGAAGUGUGUGCUGUCAAUAACCCAAUAAAGAAGCGGAAUGUUCAGAUGAAAUGGCUAUUAUGACGUGGUCAGGAAGGGAUAUCUAACAUCCCAUGAUGUAUACAGCUUACCUAAAUACUUCAUACUGUACAUGCAGUUUAAGGGGUCUUUUCAAGACAGCUAGGACAGAUAGUUAGCUAACAAAUCAAUGAGAAAUGCAUAUAUAUGUGAUAAUGUAAUGAUCAAAAGAAGAGAAAAUGUGAAAGGAAAGAAGUAACUCAGAUUUCUUGUAUCAAUCAUUAUCAUGGUUUUGGUUCAUGUCUGGUUUCUUUCUACUUUCCUGCUUCUCCUCUAUUGAUACAACAUUCAAUUAUUGCCUGGAAAUGAUUAAUAUGUUAUAUUUUUAGUUGAGGGCGUGGCUAUGUUCAUUUUGUAGGAAGGAUGACAUCACAGCUACAGAGUUGACCGUCUGAUAGCCCAGCUCGACUGCCCACCUCUCCUGAAGACCCCUCAGCUUUUUGAGAGUUGGGUGGAGGACAUCAUCUCUGAAAGAGGGUCCCACAGAUGCACCCUAGCAGUUUGAGCACCACUCCUACAAGAAGAGUCAAUGCCCUAAAAGCGUGAUUUCACCGGGGAUUACUCCGGGGUGAUCCUUGUGUUAGGAUGCACCUCUGGCUGGCUGUCGUCAUCCUUUUAGGUAGAUAAUGAAGUGUGUGCUGUCAAUAACCCCAUAAAGAAGCGGAAUGUUCAAAUGAAAUGGCUACUAUGAGGUGGUUGGGAAGGGAUAUCUAACAUCCCAUGAUGUAUACAGCUUACCUAAAUACUUAAUGCAGUACAUGCAGUCUAAGGGGCCUUCAAGACAGCUAGGACAGAUAGUUAGCUAACAAAUCAAUGAGAAAUGCAUUUAUGAGUGAUAAUGUAAUAAUCAAAAGAGGAGAAAUUGUGAAAGGAAAGAAGUAACUCUCAUUUCUUGUAUCAAUCAUUAUCAGGGUUUUGAUUCAUGUCUGUUUUCUUUCCACUUUCCUGCUUCUCCUCUAUUGAUAUAACAUUCAAAAGAGGCGACCUUGACAUGGUGAGUGGCUUAUUACGCUUUGGCCAAAAUGUACACUAAUGCCUCAUUCAACAUCCAGCAUAGAGGAAGGGCAGAGUGCUGGUUGCAGAGUGCGAUUGCAUUUGUGUUUUAACAUUCAAUAAUUACAUGGAAAUGAUUAAUAUGUUAUAUUCAUAGUUACGGGCGUGGACAUGUCCAUUUUGUAGGAAGGAUGACAUCACAGCUACAGAGUUGACCGUCUGAUAGCCCAGCUCGACUGCCCACCUCUCCUGAAGACCCCUCAG